rnacentral:rRNA from 1 species
GGCGAACGGGUGAGUAAUGCAUCGGAACAUGUCCAUGUCGUGGGGGAUAGCCCGGCGAAAGCCGGAUUAAUACCGCAUAAGCCCGGGAGGGGAAAGCAGGGGACCGCAAGGCCUUGCGCGAUUGGGUUGGCCGAUGUCCGAUUAGCUUGUUGGUGAGGUAAAGGCUUACCAAGGCGAUGAUCGGUAGCUGGUCUGAGAGGAUGAUCAGCCACACUGGGACUGAGACACGGCCCAGACUCCUACGGGAGGCAGCAGUGGGGAAUUUUGGACAAUGGGGGCAACCCUGAUCCAGCCAUUCCGCGUGAGUGAAGAAGGCCUUCGGGUUGUAAAGCUCUUUUGUCCGGAGCGAAACGGGUAGCCCUAAUACAGCUGCCUACUGACGGUACCGGAAGAAUAAGCACCGGCUAACUACGUGCCAGCAGCCGCGGUAAUACGUAGGGUGCGAGCGUUAAUCGGAAUUACCGGGCGUAAAGCGUGCGCAGGCGGUUUUGUAAGCCAGAUGUGAAAUCCCCGGGCUCAACCUGGGAAUGGCAUUUGGGACUGCAAGGCUGGAGUGUGGCA